GUAUAACAAUUUCCAUAUAUAUAUAUAUCAUUCUAUGUGACUGGAGUAUAUGUAAAAAUAUAGAUCACAAGGAAAGCCCGCAAGUAUUUUGCAAAGCAAACCCCCCAUUCGUCCGCAAAGGACAUUGAUCCACACAAGAGGUGCACAAAUGAGAUGGAGAAAUGAAGAACAACAAGCGUGCACAACCCUCGCAUGGGGGCCAGCGACAACUCGUCAUGCUAUUUCGAUAAUGAUCCUUCCGCAGGUUCACCUACGGAAA
rnacentral:misc_RNA from 1 species